AAAUAUUUGUCCAGAUGGAAUCAUUGCAACAUAAUUAGCAGCCACCUGUGAUUACAAAUUGCACAGGCAUGAAUUACUAUCAGAGAGAAGUUACAGGGGAUAAGACAGAAUGAGAAGGGCAAUAAAAUAAAUAAAAUUUUCAGGUAUUGGCAGGCCAAGAAUGUUAGGCUGACUGUUAAUCCUUAUUCUCAUAAUUACUGAAACAGGUAAACUGAAUGAAUCAAAGUGCUAUCAGGAGCCACUGAAGAAUGAAGGUCAUAAACUUGUGUCAGUAAUAGAAUAAUUUAAACAUAUCUUAGACAAAAAAACAUUUCAAUUUUGUUCAAGCCCAAUUCAAUCUACUUGGACUUGUUUUCAGAGAUGAACAAGCUGUUAGUUAUAUAUAUGUGUGUGUGUAUGUGUGUGCGCACGCGCGUGCGUGUGUGUGGAGCAAAUAUAUAAAGCAAAAGCUGAUUGAUUUUAGGAACUAAUGCUGCGAUCCUCAACAUGCGAGCCAAAAUAGGCGGCGCUAGGAAGCUUGACAGUGUUAAUGUAAUAAGCAAUUUCAUUUUUGACAUCACAAACAAAUAAAGGCCUUUUUGGAUCUUGGUCAAGAGUCCAGUUGGUGUACAUGUACUCAUGGCUCCCACCUACAGUUAAGUGUAUCAAUUAAGCUAACCCCAAUUCAUAUAGACAUAAAUGCAAUAGAGAGUCAUGAAAAUAUGUCAAACCUCAUCAGCUUUCCAACAAGUCCUCAAAGGUUAGUUGAAAAGGCCAUACAACUGACAGAGGCCUUAGAAGAUAGACACAACCUUAGAAGAUAGACACAAUCUUCCAUAGUCAAUGUCAAUGCAGGUCAAGAAAGCUAUAAUUACAUAACUUGAACAUCAAAUAGAUAUCUUGUAGGUCCUCAAGUACUUCACAUUUAGAGCUGAUAUGUCUUCUUCCUUCUUUUGUCAGUUUAAGAGGAAUUUACGC
rnacentral:misc_RNA from 1 species